GUAGGGGGCGAGCGUUGUCCGGAUUUAUUGGGCGUAAAGGGUGCGUAGACGGCCUUGUAAGUCAGAUGUGAAAUCUCACGGCUUAACCGUGGUAAGCAUUUGAAACUGUGAGGCUUGAGUACAGGAGAGGAGAGUGGAAUUCCUAGUGUAGCGGUGAAAUGCGUAGAUAUUAGGAGGAAUACCAGUGGCGAAGGCGACUCUCUGGACUGUAACUGGCGGUGAGGCACGAAAGCGUGGGGAGCAAACAGGAUUAGAUACCCUGGUAGUCCACGCCGUAAACGAUGAGUGCUAGGUGUCGGGGGUCAAACCUCGGUGCCGCAGUUAACACAUUAAGCACUCCGCCUGGGGAGUACGGUGGCAACACUG
rnacentral:rRNA from 1 species